ACGGAGGGGGCUAGCGUUGUUCGGAAUUACUGGGCGUAAAGCGCACGUAGGCGGCUUUGUAAGUUAGAGGUGAAAGCCCGGGGCUCAACCCCGGGUCUGCCGUGCAGACUGCCUAGCUCGAGCAUAGUAGAGGCACGUGGAAUUCCGGGUGUAGCGGUGGAAUGCGUAGAGAUCCGGAAGAACACCGGUGGCGAAGGCGGCGUGCUGGGCUAUUGCUGACACUGAGGCGCGACAGCGUGGGGAGCAAACAGGA
rnacentral:rRNA from 1 species